rnacentral:rRNA from 1 species
UACGUAGGGUGCGAGCGUUGUCCGGAAUUAUUGGGCGUAAAGAGCUCGUAGGCGGUGUGUCACGUCGGCCGUGAAAACCUGCAGCUUAACUGUGGGCGUGCGGUCGAUACGGGCAUCACUGGAGUUCGGCAGGGGAGACUGGAAUUCCUGGUGUAGCGGUGAAAUGCGCAGAUAUCAGGAGGAACACCGGUGGCGAAGGCGGCAUUCUGGACCGGUAUUGACGCUGAGGCGCGAAAGCCAGGGGAGCAAACGGG